rnacentral:lncRNA from 1 species
GAUAAUUAUUUUGUUAUUUACUGUGGCUAAAGUGGUUUUAGAUACAUAAAUACUUAUUUAACCAUGGUGAAAUCACUACACAGCUGCUAAUGACUUACUGCUUGUUUUUGUCUUUAGGAAUCAUCUCCUGAAGAAGUUGAUUUUCCUGCAAUCAAGUAUGUAAUUCAGGACGCUGACACAGGAAGUUGUUUACUGGAGCCUUCUGACUUCUCUGAAAUGCCUGGCAUAGUCAGCAGACCAGUUACUGAAGAAACAAGUUCCCCACCUGCACUAGCAUCCCAACAUUUGAAAGAAUUAACAAAUGAUAGUUGUCUGAAGCCUGACAGUGCAAAUAUAGCUGAGGAAAAGCAAAAUGAGUGCACUGAAGCAGUUCCAGCAAAGCCAGAAAUAUGCUCAGAAACCACCAUGUUAAAAGCAAGUGAUGCCAAUGAAUCUGUAGAUCAGAAUGAAGUAUCUGUAAACACAGAAACGGGUACAAGUGAUCAAGUGAAAACAACAAGCCCAAAGCCACGUGACACAGAGGCAAUAAAUGUUACUGAUGGUGAUCGGACCCAGACAGAGACUAAAUCCAUCGACGCCACAGCUCCUCUUAUGCUCUCCUCCCAGCAUACAGGAUGUGUGCCACAGGAAGAUACAACAUUGGAAAUACAGAGAGAUGUUAUUGAGGCCAUGGUUCACCAGAGCAGCAGCCAGUCUCAGGAUCACACAAUUCAGCACACAGCAACUAUCAGUGAUCUGUCACAGUCUGAAGGAGGAGGUGAAGAUCAACUGAGUUUAGUCCAACUUCUCACCUCAUGUCAGGAUGUCAGUUCUUUAGAGACGAGACAGCAUCUGUUAGAGAUUCCGGUGUCUGCGUUGAAUGCCUGUGAAUCACAGAUGGAAGACUCAACUAAACUCCUCAAGGACCUUUCAAGCAUCAAGAGUCUGCAAGGCGGCACAUGGACUUUGGCACUUGAGUGGCGGAGAUCGGCGGGACAGAAUAAUCUUGAGCUCCAGAGAUGUUCUGGAGCUCUUCUGAAGGGUCUGCGGGGUCUCCUGGAGCUGGGCUCUGAGCGGCUGCUGCGCAGUCAGAAUGCGCAGCCACAAAACUGCAGUCAGCUGCACAGUCUGCUCACAGAACACAAGAAAUACUUCCAAGAUUUGGGUCAGGACCUUGUAAUGGUCAAGCUGCUAUACCAGAAGCUGCCAGAGGGGUCACUGCAGGGCUAUGCAGAGGUGGAGCAGUUAAUAUCAGAUCUACAGGAUCAAGCACAAACUCAUGGUGUCCAAAUGCAGCACUGCUUAGAGGUAUAAUGAAAUUAACUUAUUCAGACCUUAAUGUUAUAUCAGUCUUUUACAAUG